rnacentral:lncRNA from 1 species
UGUUAUACGGUUGCAUUUCUUGAAGACAGAAAAUAUUCAACAUUGGCUCCAUUUGGCGGCUUUGCAUUUAUAGCAGCUUGGGGUAGCUUGUUUUUCUGACGACUUCACUGUUUUGGUUUGUGAUGCUACAAUAUCUAUAGAAUGUUUGUUAAUAAGCAGUUAGACUAUCAUCAUCAGAUUUUACAAUUGCUUAGAGCCUGCAUACCUCAUAUUUGUAAAUAUUUUUCUAUUUAUCUUGCCAAUGGUUUAUGCUCUUGAAAUCAAUGCAUUUACCUAUAUAUUUCACACUUGGUUACAAAACUUGUAUGCAUUUGUUUCAUUGGAUGAUGUUCCAAAAAGAUUGAAGUUUUCUGUUAAAGCGAACGCAUGCAUGUGUAUUAGAUUAUUAGUGUAUCCCACAACAGAAAAAUAAAGAUGAC